CUCUCUCACUGGCAGCAACCCAGCGCUUCCAUUGCUGACCUCUACCGACCUCUACCUGUGGUCCUUCCUCUACUGCAGCAGAGACACUGUUUUCUUCCUUUGUUCUUCCAACCCCAUGUUCUCUGGUGCUACAACAAGCCACUGAGUUGUUCUUUGUUCAGAGUGCUCCUAGAUGUCAAAGUUCUGCCAGUUCCCCAACACAGCUUCAAGGGGAAUAUCACAGAAGUGAAGUGCAAUUCUCAUCAUGUCAUAUCAAGAGCACACACUAACAAACAACAUGACUUAUUGCUGAAUAUUGAACUUGAUCACCUGGCUGAGGUAGUGUUUGCCAGAUUUCUCUGUAAAGGUGAAUAAACUGACACUGGAACAUUCAGGAACUUCUUCAUGGUCAUGGUCACCCAGCUAGAGUGUGGAAGCCAGGCUGUCUGAUUCCAGGAUCUGUGUUCUUAAUCCUAUACAUAAGGAAGCCAUAAUGAGUCAACCACUAUUUUUAAGAUUCACAGAUGUUCGGGUCCAAUUCACCAGAAUGCCAAGUUAUACAGGGUUGUGGAAUCAAAAACUGCAAUUAGUAAUAAAAUGUGAUGCUAUCUAGAAUGUUUUUCAUACAUAUAUAUGCUUCUUGGGACUCUCCCUGCAGGUUAAGAGAAAUUGAGAAACGAUGGAGAAUUUAAGUGUUUUAGAUCCUACAUACAUUAGACUUAAAAAUAGUAACUAUGUACAUGAGUAUUUGUAAACUUAAGAAUGAACAUAACAUGAACCAUGUGGCACCUAUAAAAUGAAAAUAAAAUACCUACAAACCAAAUGAGAGCAAUAAAAGAAGCUUUAAGGACUUUCACUUCAGGGAGUCUGAAUUAGAUGCGCUUCUUCCCAUUCCUCCCUCUAAUUACAACAAGCUUGGACGUUACAUACAGAACAAACAGAAGGAGUCUCUGAAAGAUGAAGAGAAGGCAAGUAAGCUACAGACUUCACAAUGUAAGGAAUAAUAUGGUGGUGAGUUACAUUUGUGAUUUUUUUUUGUCUCAUAUCCCAUAAUAUCUCAUAUCUCAUAAUCAGUUAGAAAGCACAAUGGAAAAGUAUUCCACUGCCAAUGGUGUUAGAGAACUGCUCACAAAUUCAACAGAAAUGCACAGAUACCAAAGCAGAAAGGACAAUAAACAAGAGUCUUCAUGGUCAAAAGAUUAGAAGCUGCAGCUUUCAAUGGGAGGGACAGGUUCUGGACCACACUGCAGUGCUUUUCUGCUUUCUGUGCUUUCCCACUCUAGAGCUGAAGAAGGUAACGACCCCAAAAUGUCAAUAUACGUAGACCAAAAACCAGCCCCAAUAAAAGUCUGCUCUCUCUAGCCAAAGGACUACAGUAGGGCAGCCCAGCAAGACAGAAAACCUUCAGACAACCUACCCCAGCCAAACACUACCAAAAAAAGUAAAGUGAGCCAUCACCCAAUCCACAUCAGUAAAAACUAAGUGGAAAGUCCAGACUUUCACCUCAAGAGGUUGCGACAAGCUACUCCAAUACCCCUGCUGGGAUAGUGUCACAGAAGGCUAAAUAAGGAGCUGUAAUGUUGAUUCCCCUCCAGAAGUAAAGAGUCCGUACCUGCUAUUUUCAGAGAGACCACAUGGAAAGCCUAGAUUUCAACACCUACCCAGCAUUAAUGAGGUAUUCCUUCCCUUCUUUACUCUCUGGUGUCAAAGAAGCUCCAUGCAGAGUCAGAAUGUUUGGCAUUACUCCUCAGUAGGGAGGCCACCCCCACCACGGUGUUAGUGGAGACCAUGUGAGGACCAGGACUUGUACCCUGCCCAGAAGUAAUGAGUAGACCCCCCUCUACAGGAAGGCCAAAGGGCAACCUAAACUUCUACCUCUCUCUGGCAGUAAUAAAGUAGGGCCUCACUUUUCCCUGCUGAGCAAUGUCAAAAAAAAAAGCCAGCUGAAGUAAAAGCUUAUUUCUUUCUUUCUUUAUACAUAUUUUUGGAGACAGGGUCUUAUUCUGUCACCCACGCUGGAGUACAGUGGCCUCAUCAGGUCUCACUGCAGCCUCAACCUCCUGGGCUCAAGCAAUCCUCCCACCUCAGCCUCUUGAGUAGCUGAGACCACAGAUGUGCACCACCACACAUAGCUAACAUUAACAUUUUUUCUAGAGAUGGGGUCUUCCUGUGUUGCCCAGGCUGGUCUGGAACUCCUGGGCUCAAGUGAUCCUCCCACCUUGACCUCCUGGAGGGCUGGGAUUACAGGUAUGAGUCAUCACUCCAGGCUGAAGCUUUAUAUAAUAACCAGAGUCUCAUAUUACAAAAUGUCAAAGAUUCAGUCAAAAGUUACUUGAUAUCAAUGGACAAGAUCUCAAACUAAAUGAAAAAAAGACAAUUAAUAGAUGCUAACACUGAGAUAACAAAGUUGUUAGAAUCAUCUAACAAAGAUUUUAAAGCAGCUAUAAUAAAAGUGCUACUGCAAGUGAUUAUAAACAUGCUUGAGACAAAUGAAAAAGUGCUAUAAAGCUAAGAAAUAAAAUAUAUAAAUAAGAAUCAAAGAGAAAUUAUAGAACUAAAAGAUACCAUAACUGAAAUGCAAAGCUCCGUGGAUGGACUCAACAACAGAAUGGAAAAGACUGAGGAAAGAAGUAGUUUACAGGAAAUUAGAAUAGACUAGAAAAAAUGAACAAGACCCUGUGCUAAAGAGCAAAUAUUUAUGUCAUUGGAUUCCAGGAAAGAGAAAAGAAUGAAAAAGUACUUAAAUAAUGGCUUAAAAACUUCUCACAUUUUGCAAAGAUUUAAACCUACAAUUUGAGAAGCUGGGUAAACCUUAAACAGGAUAAAUCAAGGACACUCACACCAAGAAACAUAGUAAUUAAACUUCUGAUUAAGGAAGAAAAAGAAAAAUCUGGAAAGCAGCAAGAAAAAAAUGACACACUUUCUAUAUGGUAAAAGCAAUUUGAACAACAGAAGAUUUCUCAUCAGAAACUGUGGGGACCAUGAGGAAGUAACAGAUAUUUUUCAAGUGCUGAAAUAAAUCAACUGUCAAUACAAAAUGCUCUACUCAGUGAAAAUAUCUUUCAGGAAUAAAGGGGAAAUCAGGACACGCACAGACUUUUUUUAAAUUAAGAAUUUAUUGUCAGCUUAUCUCCCUAAAAGAAUGGCUAACAUUCUCCAAACACGAAGGAAAUUGAUAAGGAAUCUUGAAAUUUCAGUUAGAAACAAUGAAUAUGGCAAGCAAAAUGUAGGUCAGUACACUAAGUUUAAUUUCUCCUCUUGAAUUUUCUAAAUUAUGACUUAUGAUUGAAGCAAAAAUCAUAACAUUAUCUGAUGUAUAUGUAGAGGAAAGAUUUAAGACAGUGAUGUUAUAAAUGAGGGGAGUAAAGGAACAUGAGAUAACCACUAAUAUGACAUACCAAUAGACUAUGAUAAAUUAUGUGUCUAAUGUGAUUACUAGAAAAACCAGUUAAAAUAUAAAGAUUGACGGAGUGAAUUUAAAAACAUGACACACUAUAUGCUGUUUAUCAUAAACUCACUUUGAAGAUAAUGCCAUCGUCAGGUUGAAAUCAAAAGGAAUAAAAUAGUGUAUUAUGUAAACCAUCAAAAAGAGCAGGAAUGGCCAUAUUAAUAACAUUAAAGUCAGCUUCAGAACUAAGGAAAUUAUCAGAGAGGGACAUUAUAUAAUGAAAUAGUCGAUUUACCAAAAGAACAUAGCAAUCAUAAAUGUGCAUGAAGCAAACAACAAAGCUGGAAAAUAUAUGAAGUGAAACUGAUAGAUCUAAAAGGAGAAACAGAUAAAUCCAUUCAUUAUAGUUGGGGCCUUUAUCACCCCUCACUCAACAAUUGAUAGAACUGGACAGAAAACCAGUAAGAAUAUAAAAGAACUCAACAACAUGAGACAAUAGGAUCUAGUUGAUAUUUAUAGAACAUUCCAACAGCAGAAUACAUGUUCUUCAAGUGCUCACAGAACACACAUAUAAAGAUAGACCCUGAGCAUAAAACAAGCCUCAACAAAUUUAAAAGAACUGAAAUACUACAAGUACUUUCUCCAACCACAAAAGAACCAAACUAGAAAUAAAUAACAAUGAUAAUGGGAAAAUCACCAAACACUUGAAAACUGAACAACAAUAUUUUAUAACCCAUGGUCAUAGAGGAAAUCUCAAAAGAAAUUUUAAAAAUGCACUGAACUGAAUGAAAAUGAAAACAACAUAAAAUUUGUGAGACACAUAAAGCAGAACUGAUGGGAAAAUAUAUAGCACUAAAUGCAUGCUCUAGAAAAGAAAAGUCUUCAACCAGUAACCUAAGCUUCCACCUCAAAAACCUAAAAAAAGAAGGAAAAAUAGACCCAAUGCCAGCAGAAAGAUGCAAUAACAAAGAGUAGAACUCAAUGAAAUUGAAAACAGAUAAACACUUUAAAGAAUAAAACAAAGAGCUGGUUAUUAGAAAAGAUCAAUUAAUUGAUAAACCUCAAGCAAGACCGUCAAAAAAAAAAAAAAAAGGACUUACCUAUACCAGAGAUGAAAUGGGAUAUCGCUAUCAAUACUGCAAACAUCAAAAGGAUAAGUAGAUACUAUGAACUGUACACACAUUAAUCUGACAAUUUAGACAAAAUAGAUCAUUUCCCUAGAAAACACAAACUACUACAGCUUACCCAAUAUAAAAUAGAUUAUUUGAAUAGCCUUAUAAGUACUAAAAAAAAAUUAAUUAAACUCAUUAUUUAAAAAUUCCUAAAAAGAAAGCCUCCAGAGCCAAAUUGUUUCCUUCAGAAUUCCACCACAUUCAUAAAGAUUUGACAGCAAUUCUAUACAGUCUCUUUGAGAAAAUAGAAGGGGGUAUUUUCUAAUUCAUUUUAAGGAGCUAGUAAAUACCCUGAUACUGAAAUGUAUACUGCAAAUUGAUAAAAUUAUAGACCCCUGCAUAUUAAAUUUCAAAAUAAAAAUGAUAAAAAUACUUGGGUAAUGAAUAACAGCAUAACAAAAAACCACAGACCAAUAUCUCAUGAACAUAGACACAAAAAAUGCUUCACAAUAUGACAUAGAAUUCAGUAAUACAUGAGAAUUAUAUACCACAACCCAGUAAGACUUAAUCCAAGAAUGGAAGACUGGCUCAAUAUUUAAAAAUCAAUCGAUGUAGUGCAAAUAUUAAUAGCUAAUGAAGAAAUGUCAUAAAAUUAAUGCAGAAAAAGGAUUUGACAAAAUUCAACACUCAUUUAUGUAAAAAUGCUCUGAAAAAUAGGAAUUAAAGGACACCUACAAGAAACUUUCAGCUAACAUAAUUCUUAAUGCUGAAUGAUUGAAUGUUUUCUUCCUGAGCUUGAGAAUAAGGUGAGGGUAUCAUCCCUAAUGACGCUUAUUCAACAUAGUGCUCAAAGUUCUAUGAAGUGCAAUUAGGCAAUAAAGGGAAAUAAAAGACAGGUAAAAGAAGAAAUUAAAUUUUAUUUGAAAAAGCUGAUUGUCUACCUAGAAAAUCUCAAGGAAAACACUAUUAAUAUACAGAACAACCUGAAUGAAUCUUUGGAGAAUUACGCUGCAUCAGAAAAAGCCAAUCACAAAAGAUUACAUACUAUGUAAUUCCAUUUGUAUAACAUUUUGAACUGACAAAAGUAUAGAAAUGAACAGAUUAGUGGUUGUUAGGGGUGAGGGGUUAUGGGUCAGAGAUAGGAGUUGGGGAUAUAAAAAGGCAACCUGAGGGAUCCUUAUGGUGAUUGAAACAUUCUGUAUGUUGGUUCUAUCAAUGUCAAUACUCUGGUUGGACUAUGGUUCCACAGUUUUGCAAGAUGUUAUUGAGGAAAACGGCAUAAAUGGUGCCCAGGAUCUCUCUAUUGUUUCUUACUGAUUAUGUAUCUGCAAUGAUUGCAAAAUAAAAAGGUUUAAUUUUUAAAAAGGAUUAAACAUUACAUAGCAUACACUUGAGUAAAAGACAAAAUCUGGCUAAGGAUUAUUUUUGUCCUAAGUAAUAUGUGGAUUUUGUACAACAUAAAUCACAAUCCCCUAAAAUCUAUAUUGUAAAUUGAUAAAAUGUAAAACCUGUGUAUUACAGAAUAAAAGAUGAACAAAAAUUACAAAACA
rnacentral:lncRNA from 1 species